AGAGUUUGAUCCUGGCUCAGGACGAACGCUGGCGGCGUGCCUAAUACAUGCAAGUAGAACGCUGAGGACUGGUGCUUGCACUGGUCUAAGGAGUUGCGAACGGGUGAGUAACGCGUAGGUAACCUACCUCAUAGCGGGGGAUAACUAUUGGAAACGAUAGCUAAUACCGUAUGACAAUAGGGUACACAUGUACCCUAUUUAAAAGGGGCAAAUGCUUCACUAUGAGAUGGACCUGCGUUGUAUUAGCUAGUUGGUAAGGUAACGGCUUACCAAGGCGACGAUACAUAGCCGACCUGAGAGGGUGAUCGGCCACACUGGGACUGAGACACGGCCCAGACUCCUACGGGAGGCAGCAGUAGGGAAUCUUCGGCAAUGGGGGGAACCCUGACCGAGCAACGCCGCGUGAGUGAAGAAGGUUUUCGGAUCGUAAAGCUCUGUUGUUAGAGAAGGACGGUAAUGGGAGUGGAAAAUCCAUUACGUGACGGUAACUAACCAGAAAGGGACGGCUAACUACGUGCCAGCAGCCGCGGUAAUACGUAGGUCCCGAGCGUUGUCCGGAUUUAUUGGGCGUAAAGCGAGCGCAGGCGGUUUGAUAAGUCUGAAGUUAAAGGCUGUGGCUUAACCAUAGUUCGCUUUGGAAACUGUCAAACUUGAGUGCAGAAGGGGAGAGUGGAAUUCCAUGUGUAGCGGUGAAAUGCGUAGAUAUAUGGAGGAACACCGGUGGCGAAAGCGGCUCUCUGGUCUGUAACUGACGCUGAGGCUCGAAAGCGUGGGGGGCAAAC
rnacentral:rRNA from 1 species